UUAAAUUGAAGAGUUUGAUCAUGGCUCAGAUUGAACGCUGGCGGCAGGCCUAACACAUGCAAGUCGAACGGUAACAGGAAGCAGCUUGCUGCUUCGCUGACGAGUGGCGGACGGGUGAGUAAUGUCUGGGAAACUGCCCGGUGGAGGGGGAUAACUACUGGAAACGGUAGCUAAUACCGCAUAACGUCGCAAGACCAAAGAGGGGGACCUUCGGGCCUCUUGCCACCGGAUGUGCCCAGAUGGGAUUAGCUUGUUGGUGAGGUAA
rnacentral:rRNA from 1 species